rnacentral:rRNA from 1 species
GUGGGGAAUAUUGCACAAUGGGGGAAACCCUGAUGCAGCGACGCCGCGUGAGUGAAGAAGUAUUUCGGUACGUAAAGCUCUAUCAGCAAGGAAGAAAAUGACGGUACUUGACUAAGAAGCCCCGGCUAACUACGUGCCAGCAGCCGCGGUAAUACGUAGGGGGCAAGCGUUAUCCGGAUUUACUGGGUGUAAAGGGAGCGUAGACGGUAUGGUAAUUCAGAUGUGAAAGCCCGGGGCUCAACCUUGGAACUGCCUUCAAAACUCCUUGUCUGGAGUUCGAGAGAGGUGAGUGGAAUUCCGAGUGUAGAGGUGAAAUUCGUAGAUAUUCGGAGGAACACCAGUGGCGAAGGCGGCUUACUGGACUGUAACUGACGUUGAGGCUCGAAAGCGUGGGGAGCAAACAGGAUUAGAAACCCGUGUAGUCC